CAGCCGCCGCGGUAAUACGUAGGGUGCAAGCGUUAAUCGGAAUUACUGGGCGUAAAGCGUGCGCAGGCGGUUAUAUAAGACAGAUGUGAAAUCCCCGGGCUCAACCUGGGAACUGCAUUUGUGACUGUAUAGCUAGAGUACGGCAGAGGGGGAUGGAAUUCCGCGUGUAGCAGUGAAAUGCGUAGAUAUGCGGAGGAACACCGAUGGCGAAGGCAAUCCCCUGGGCCUGUACUGACGCUCAUGCACGAAAGCGUGUGGAGCAAACAGGAUUAGAGACCCCCGUAGUCCCUGUCUCUUAUAC
rnacentral:rRNA from 1 species